CUAAUGUGUUGGGAUGAUAUUUACAAAACUUUGGAAUCAGCUUUUGGGUAACUCAAUAAUUUUGUGAAGUAAGAUACUACUGUACUAGCUUCUAUUGCCAGUCAUCUCCCUCUACUACCUUCCUUUUUUAUCUUCACUUGCCUCUUUUUGUUCUCAAUAUUGCAGAUCUAGUCAAGAGGACUCUCUCCCUCUGUACAAAGUGUUCUCUAACUCAUGUACCGGUCAUCACGGUAGUGUCUGCCUCAAACACCUGGGACCUACCUUAGUGUGGGAGGUGAUUCUCCCUGCAGGUAACCUAAUUUGUUGCUGCAUUCAUGGAGAACAAACCACUGCUUAUCUAUGGGAAGCAUUUUAAGCAUGCAGACCUCUCAAAGAAAACAAAAACAAAAACAAAAACAAAAAAGACCGUGGAUGUUUAAACAAGAAGCCUUCCAGAAGUCAUGUAAAGGAGGAAGUACCUAGCCCAGGAUCUGUCACAUAACAAGUAGUUACAAAUAUUUGCAGAAUAAAUAGCAAUUUCCAUCGUCAAAGUCUUCUGCAUCUGUUUCACCUCCCACAGUGCCUA
rnacentral:lncRNA from 10 species